AUUGAACGCUGGCGGCAGGCUUAACACAUGCAAGUCGAACGCCCCGCAAGGGGAGUGGCAGACGGGUGAGUAACGCGUGGGAACAUACCCUUUUCUACGGAAUAGCUCUGGGAAACUGGAAUUAAUACCGUAUACGCCCUACGGGGGAAAGAUUUAUCGGGGAAGGAUUGGCCCGCGUUGGAUUAGCUAGUUGGUGGGGUAAAGGCCUACCAAGGCGACGAUCCAUAGCUGGUCUGAGAGGAUGAUCAGCCACAUUGGGACUGAGACACGGCCCAAACUCCUACGGGAGGCAGCAGUGGGGAAUAUUGGACAAUGGGCGCAAGCCUGAUCCAGCCAUGCCGCGUGAGUGAUGAAGGCCUUAGGGUUGUAAAGCUCUUUCACCGAUGAAGAUAAUGACGGUAGUCGGAGAAGAAGCCCCGGCUAACUUCGUGCCAGCCGCCGCCGUAAAAC
rnacentral:rRNA from 1 species